GAUGCGUCUUCGACUUUUGGGCCAUUUGGCCCUAUUUUUCUCUUUCUUUUGUUUUGUUUGAGUCGUCUAGGGGAGAAAACAGGUAUUCAGGAGGAAGAAGGCUCAGUCAAGGGCAUAUGCACGAAAUGUGGUCAGAAUGGGCAUUACCGGAACAAAACUAUCCAAGCUUCCAGAAGUGAAACUUACCAGGAAGAGAGCUCGGCGAAGUACCCCUCAGAACCAUUCGAGGCGCGGGAAUCUCCGAAGUGUACCACCUGGUGUGAGGCUAACCGAAGGAAGCAGUUGGUAAGGCCAUAACAACAGUCGCAGUCAGCACAGAUGAGCUAUAUAUGAACCAGGAAGAGAGCUUGACGAAGUACCCCUCAGAACCAUUCGAGGCGCGGGAACGUUCGAAG
rnacentral:lncRNA from 1 species